rnacentral:rRNA from 1 species
GAUGAACGCUGGCGGCGUGCCUAAUACAUGCAAGUCGAGCGAACAGACGAGGAGCUUGCUCCUUCGACGUUAGCGGCGGACGGGUGAGUAACACGUAGGUAACCUACCUAUAAGACUGGGAUAACUUCGGGAAACCGGAGCUAAUACCGGAUAAUAUUUCGAACCGCAUGGUUCGAUAGUGAAAGAUGGCUUUGCUAUCACUUAUAGAUGGACCUGCGCCGUAUUAGCUAGUUGGUAAGGUAACGGCUUACCAAGGCAACGAUACGUAGCCGACCUGAGAGGGUGAUCGGCCACACUGGAACUGAGACACGGUCCAGACUCCUACGGGAGGCAGCAGUAGGGAAUCUUCCGCAAUGGGCGAAAGCCUGACGGAGCAACGCCGCGUGAGUGAUGAAGGUCUUCGGAUCAUAAAACUCUGUUAUUAGGGAAGAACAAACGUGUAAGUAACUGUGCACGUCUUGACGGUACCUAAUCAGAAAGCCACGGCUAACUACGUG